AAUGCUUAGGAAUCUGCCUAUUAGUGGGGGACAACGUUCCGAAAGGAGCGCUAAUACCGCAUACGUCCUACGGGAGAAAGCAGGGGACCUUUGGGCCUUGCGCUAAUAGAUGAGCCUAAGUCGGAUUAGCUAGUUGGUAGGGUAAAGGCCUACCAAGGCGACGAUCUGUAGCGGGUCUGAGAGGAUGAUCCGCCACACUGGGACUGAGACACGGCCCAGACUCCUACGGGAGGCAGCAGUGGGGAAUAUUGGACAAUGGGGGGAACCCUGAUCCAGCCAUGCCGCGUGUGUGAAGAAGGCCUUUUGGUUGUAAAGCACUUUAAGCGAGGAGGAGGCUACCUAGAUUAAUACUUUAGGAUAGUGGACGUUACUCGCAGAAUAAGCACCGGCUAACUCUGUGCCAGCAGCCGCGGUAAUACAGAGGGUGCGAGCGUUAAUCGGAUUUACUGGGCGUAAAGCGUGCGUAGGCGGCCAAUUAAGUCAAAUGU
rnacentral:rRNA from 1 species